rnacentral:rRNA from 1 species
GUAGGGAGGCUAACGGGGGGAACUGAAACAUCUUAGUACCCCCAGGAAGAGAAAACAACAGUGAUUCCCCUAGUAGUGGCGAGCGAACGGGGAACAGCCCAAACCGUCGCUGUCGCAAGGCAGCGCCGGGGUAGUAGGACCACGACCUUGUAUCAUGAUCGCGAGCAGAAGGUCCCUGGAAAGGACCGCCGCAGACGGUGAGAGCCCGGUAUGCGAAGCGUGAUUGGGCAUAGUGGUAUCCUGAGUAGCGCGGGACACGAGGAAUCCUGCGUGAAUCCGCCGGGACCAUCCGGUAAGGCUAAAUACUCCCGUGAGACCGAUAGUGAACGAGUACCGUGAGGGAAAGGUGAAAAGCACCCCUAGCAGGGGAGUGAAACAGUCCCUGAAACCAUGCGCCUACAAGCGGUCGGAGCUGCUUUUGCAGUGACGGCGUGCCUUUUGCAUAAUGAGCCUACGAGUUGCCAUGUCCGGCAAGGCUAAGGGCGAGUACGCCCGCAGCCGCAGUGAAAGCGAGCCUGAACAGGGCGCCGAGUCGGAUGGGGCAGACGCGAAACCAAGUGAUCUACGCAUGGCCAGGCUGAAGUCCCGGUAACACGGGAUGGAGGGCCGCACGGAUAAGCGUUGAAAAGCUUCCCGAUGAGCUGUGCGUAGGAGUGAAAGGCCAAUCAAACUUGGAGAUAGCUCGUACUCCCCGAAAGGCAUUUAGGUGCCGCGUCGGAUGUUCACCGCGAGAGGUAGAGCGACCGAUAGGACGAGAGGGCUUCACCGCCUAUCGAGUCCUGACGAACUCCGAAUGCUCGCGGUCCGCAGUCCGGCAGUAAGGGGGCGGGUGCUAAGGUCCGUCCCCGAGAGGAGAAGAAUCCUGACCGUCGUCUAAGGUCCCGAAAUUCUGUCUAAGUUAGUCUAACGAGGUCUGGUCUCAGUGACAGCUAGGAUGUUGGCUUGGAAGCAGCCAUUCAUUCAAAGAGUGCGUAACAGCUCACUAGUCGAGAGACCGGGCAUGGAUAAUAAUCGGGUAUUAAGUCAGAUACCGAAGGCACGGGGUAGCAGAGUAAUGAAAAGUACCGGUAGGGGAGCAUUCCACCUCCGUCGAAUGGUUUCCGUGAGGAUUCCUGGAGGGCGUGGAAAAGCAAAUGUAGGCAUAAGUAACGACUAGGGGCGUGAGAACCGCCCCCGCCGCAAGUCUAAGGUUUCCCGGGCGAUGCCAGUCAGCCCGGGGUCAGUCGGGUCCUAAGGCUCAGCCGAACGGCGAGGCCGAUGGCAGACACGGUUAAUAUUCCGUGACCCUCUGCUGGAGCGACGUGGAGACGGAGCAGUGACACCACCGCGCCCUGACGGAAUAGGGCGUUGAAGGCCGUAGGUGCAGACAAGGGCAGGCAAAUCCACCCUUUGAGCUGAAAGCCGACAGUACGCUUCCUCCUUCGGGAGGCGGCGACAGCGUGGGUAACCAUACUUCCUAGAAAAUCCGCUAAGCAUAUCCAUCGGAGGCCCGUACCGCAAUCCGACACAGGUAGACGGGUAGAACAUACUGAGGCGUUGGGAGAUUCAUGGCUAAGGAACUAGGCAAACUGACCCCGUAACUUCGGGAUAAGGGGUCCUCACGGCAACGUGAGGCGCAGAGAAUAGGCCCAGGCAACUGUUUAACAAAAACACAGGGCUGUGCAAACUCGAAAGAUGAUGUAUACAGCCUGACACCUGCCCGGUGCCGGAAGGUUAAGAGGAGGAGUCAGCCCCUUGUGGGUGAAGCCCCGAGUUGAAGCCCCGGUAAACGGCGGCCGUAACUAUAACGGUCCUAAGGUAGCGAAAUUCCUUGUCGGGUAAGUUCCGACCUGCACGAAUGGUGUAAUGAUCCGGGCGCUGUCUCGGCCAUGAUCCCAGUGAAAUUGUAGUAUCGGUGAAGAUGCCGAUUACCCGCGAUGGGACGAAAAGACCCCGUGAACCUUUACUACAGCUUAGCGCUGACCUUGGUCAUCCGAUGUGUAGGAUAGGCCGGAGGCUUCGAAGCGGGGACGCCAGUCUUCGUGGAGCCGCCCUUGAAAUACGGCCCUUUGGCUGUCCGAGGUCUAACGCGCGUUUAGCGCGGACACCGCUUGGCGGGUAGUUUGACUGGGGUGGUCGCCUCCAAAAGUGUAACGGAGGCUUCCAAAGGUGCCCUCAGGCCGAUUGGUAACCGGCCUCUAGAGUGCAAUGGCAUAAGGGCGCUUGACUGGGAGGGAGACAUCCCGAGCAGGCAGGAAACUGGGGCAUAGUGAUCCGGCGGACGCGUAUGGAAGCUCCGUCGCUCAAAGGAUAAAAGGUACUCCGGGGAUAACAGGCUGA